CCCUUAGAUGUUCUGGGCCGCACGCGCGCUACACUGAUGCAUUCAACGAGUCUAAAACCUGGUCUGAUAGGGCUGGGUAAUCUUUUGAAGGUGCAUCGUGAUUGGGAUAGAUGAUUGCAAUUCUUCAUCUUCAACGAGGAAUGCCUAGUAAACGCAAGUCAUCAGCUUGCAUUGAUUACGUCCCUGCCCUUUGUACACACCGCCCGUCGCUCCUACCGAUUGAGUGGUCCGGUGAGGCUUUGGGAUCUGAGCGGAAAGAGCGUUUCGCUGUUUCUGCUCGGAAAACUCAGUCGAACCUUAUCAUUUAGAGGAAGGAGAAGUCGUAACA
rnacentral:rRNA from 1 species